rnacentral:lncRNA from 1 species
UAAGACGGUAUAGAUGGUCUUAAUUGCAUAUGUGUUGGUAUGUGUGCAUUCAUUCAUAGCAUGGUUGACUUCAUUGUGGAAGUGGUGAAACUGUGGGUUCACAUGAGCAGACGUUGAUUCUCAAUUGGAAUCAGGCGUAGUAUUAAGCGGUGAUCCUUCAUUGGAAACAGACGUAGCAGACGUUAAUCCUUAAUUGGGAUUAGGCGUAGUAUUAAGCGGUGAUCCUUCAUUGGAAACAGACGUAGGGCUUU